CUUCAAAAUAUUGUGAUAUUAAUUUAAAACAAAACAAAAAAAAUAAAUAAAUAAAUAACACGAAAUCAUAUCUUCUAAACGAAGAAGAGUAUUUUAAACUUUCCAACGCUAGUUAAAGAAAUUAUUCUCCACGAAUAUAUCUACUGCUGAAUAUCAAUCAAUUCACCAACCUAAGAGUUUCAUAUUAAAAUUGGACACAAUAGCACUUAAGAAAAUCCUGGAAUUUAUUUUUACCUAAAAGAAAAACGGAGAGGAGAGAAGAAACAAAACAACAAGAAAACAAAGCAAAGAAAAUAAAAAUAGAAAGGAAAAGCCAACGGAUUUUUUGUAAAGAAUUUUUUGCUCCUAAUCUAUAUUUUUAUCCAACUUACAAAAAACGCAUUCUAUUUUGGAUUCUGUACCAAUCAGCGAUUCAAGAGUAGAGGAAGGAAGAGAGAAAGGCACACCAUAAACUUUUGCCUUGCAUGAGAUCACCAAGAGAGAUAGCUAAUUUUAUACCUCAACACUUAAACGCUAAGCUAAGGAUUAAAUAAAUUUGUAAAUUGUACUUAAGUGUUCAAAGCCCUAAGUUUUACGGAGUUACAUAACAAACGCAACACAUACACACACACACGCGCACGCACCCACACACAGACAGACACACACACUUACAUACAUUUCUAUAUACACACUUAAAUACGCAAAAACACAUACUUACAUAAAAUAUACGCAUACACCCUCAGACAGGCGCAACAUACAACCCCACAUUAUUUAUAUAUUAAAGAUAAGUUCUAUUUAAAAAUAAACUUUAGCUUCAAGCAUCUUUAUAAAGGUUUUUCUAUUCAAAAUCAAUCGC